ensembl:lncRNA
ACACCUGAUUCAUCUUACGCCAUAACUUCAGAAGAGAAACCAACUUAUCGGCCUCAUCUCUAAAAACACCCCCUUAACAUCGGCUCAUUUCCGCCUGUACUCCACAGGAGUCGCGUUUAGCUUUGGUAGCUCUGCAACAAAAAUAAUAUUUGCGGUUAAUAAUAAAUGCGCCGAGAUGCUUUGAAGUUGGAGGUUGCUGGUUCCUCUGAUCCAAGCCGGUGUUUGUACGCGCACGGGCUGUCGGUGGCUGACGCUAAGCUGAGGAGCUGUCUGAAAGGCAUUCUCUGCAGCAAAAGCCGAUACUUCAUUCUCCUAGUCAGAGAGGACAGACGCGCUGAUUAAUAGCAGACCCAUUGGGAAUGUGUAGAUUCAGCAAACUGGAUGUUGGGAGAUGAAGGUGAAGAUGGCGGUGCCAGUCUGUCCGAUAGCAGAGUGAUGGACCAGGUGUUUUUCCAUCUUCCUCCAUUAUUUCCUCAAACAGCGGACGUCCGUGCAGGGGUGCACAUCACUGGGACGGGAGAUGGGUGACGAAUACGAAGAAUGUCAUGUUGGUUCUAUGUCUCCCGGCUGGCCUGGGAACGCCUCGGUGUCCCCCCGGAAGAGCUAGAGGAAGUGUCUGGGGAGAGGGAAGUCUGGGCAUCCCUGCUUAGACUGCUGCCCCCGCGACCCGGCCCCGGAUAAGCGGAAGAUGAUGGUAUGGUAUGGAGUUUCUGUGGAUGCCGAUAAUUGUGGAGGGGGUGCUUUUUUCACUCAGAUGCUUUCUUCAUUGAAACUUGGUUAAAUGCAAUUGCUGGAAACUUUGCAGGCGCCACAGCAAAAGGUGGCCGUGUUAGGAGAGGGAGAGCAGAGCUGUAGCGAACACGCCGGGAGCAGGAGAUCACGGGCGAAAAAACAGGAUAUUAUGCACAAGGCCCGAUGGGGGCAAGUCUCUUGAGCCAGACGGCUACUUCUGCAGUCUUUGAAUGGCUCAGGUAAAGAUGUCCGAACAACUUAAAAUGGAAAUGUCAACGUUAUUAUUAUUGUUAUUGUUAUUAUUAAUAAACACACAAACGUGCGUUUUUGCUUGCGCUUUAGAAAACAAUACAUUCAAUUCCCGGGCAAGUUUGUGAGA